GUCCACGCCGUAAACGAUGGAUACUAGCUGUUGGGAGCAAUUUCAGUGGCUAAGCGAAAGUGAUAAGUAUCCCACCUGGGGAGUACGUUCGCAAGAAUGAAACUCAAAGGAAUUGACGGGGCCCGCACAAGCGGUGGAGCAUGUGGUUUAAUUCGAUGAUACGCGAGGAACCUUACCAAGGCUUAAAUGUAGAUUGACAGGACUGGAAACAGUUUUUUCUCGGACAAUUUACAAGGUGCUGCAUGGUUGUCGU
rnacentral:rRNA from 1 species